UGUUAAAAAUUUCACCCAUUUGUACUGUUAAAAAUUGGCGUGGCUGGUAAAAUAUCUAAACAAUGACACGUGGUCACAUGUACCUCAUGCUGGCAUAUAAGACCCGGUUUUUAACAGUAGAAAUAGAUGAAAUUGUUAACA
rfam:Gossypium hirsutum cultivar TM-1 chromosome 20, whole genome shotgun sequence